GACGAACGCUGGCGGCGUGCCUAAUACAUGCAAGUCGAACGAGAGCAACCGGUGCUUGCACUGGUCAAUCUAGUGGCGAACGGGUGAGUAACACGUGGGUAACCUGCCCAUCAGAGGGGGAUAACAUCCGGAAACGGAUGCUAAAACCGCAUAGGUCUUCGAACCGCAUGGUUUGAAGAGGAAAAGAGGCGCAAGCUUCUGCUGAUGGAUGGACCCGCGGUGCAUUAGCUAGUUGGUGAGGUAACGGCUCACCAAGGCCGUGAUGCAUAGCCGACCUGAGAGGGCGAUCGGCCACAUUGGGACUGAGACACGGCCCAAACUCCUACGGGAGGCAGCAGUAGGGAAUCUUCCGCAAUGGACGCAAGUCUGACGGAGCAACGCCGCGUGAGUGAAGAAGGUUUUCGGAUCGUAAAACUCUGUUGUUAGAGAAGAACAAGUGCUAGAGUAACUGUUAGCGCCUUGACGGUAUCUAACCAGAAAGCCACGGCUAACUACGUG
rnacentral:rRNA from 1 species